ensembl:lncRNA
AUGUUGUUCCUUCGCGAUCUGGAUUCGAGAUCAGUCAGUUUGUUUUGGAUACUCCUCUGUCGCUUAAUGCUUUCAGUCAGCGCUUCGGUCAAAUCCAGUGUCAUGUCCUCAACACGUCCCACGCAAUUCUCCGCUUCUUCCAUUCUUUCAGUCAGGCCUCUCAUUUCCUCCGUCAGGUUAUCAAGUUUAUUACCCAUCUCCUGGCUCAGGGUAUUGAUGUCCUUCCUUAGUUUGUCAUUGUCCUCCUUCAGUUCGGAUUUAAGCGUUUCUAUUGCUUCCAAUAUAGCGCUCGAAGUUUUGUUAGUUCCGCCCGGGCUCGUGCUUGCUUGCUCGGUUGCGUUGCUAGCUUUUGUCGCGGUUAUUGAUUUGUCUCCUUUAGGCAUUUUGCGUCCUUUUGGCCUUUAAUGUUUUGAACCCCACUCAAAUGCUUAACUUACUCUAUUAAUGAAUGAUAUAUCGUAUAGUUUUGGUGGGUAUUUUCCAUCAAUCUCGGAGAGCAGUCACCAAACACGUCUGUCUCGUUACGCCAUCACCGGAAGUCCCCUCAAAACUGUUUAUUUUACUUGUAUCUUUACUCUAUUGUAUUUAUUUGUGAUGUUGCUUGUAGUUAGAUAGAAUAUUCUUAUUUUCUUUAUUUUUAUUUGAAAAUAUAGUUUUUCCAUAAACAUAGCAACAACUGUACCAAAACCGAUACCCUAAAACCGUGAUACAAACCGAACCAUGAAAAAGUUGAACCGUUCCACCCCUAGUAUUUGGUCAUAGGACUGGAAAUGAUUACAAUCAAGCAAGGCAAGGUAUGUGGUUGGAAUAAUGAGUCUACAAAAGGUAGUACAUUUUAGCUCUUCAUCUUCAAUUUGUAGACUCUUAGGACACUGAUCUAAGGGCAGGGAGGGAAACAGUGGACCUUUGUUCCAUUAAUUCCUGUUGCCCAACUCAACUAAAGUUUUGCAUCGUGUAUUGUCAUUGGCAGGAUUGAUUUUGGAAUCAACAUAAUGCCAGGCACUAGAGUCAGUCAGUUCCUAUAACUCUGCCACUCUUGUUGUGACAAAACAAAAAAUGUAAAGCCUACAUCAUUCAGCUUGCAUCCAUGUCAACACUAGUGAAAUCAACCAAAGAGUGACCAAAGAAACAGAUUGGGACACUAAGCUCUGAUUCAAACAGGUUUGCCAGCAGAGCUUCAAAGCAGCACAAAGCUCCAAAUGUGGAAUUGACUGGUCCUUUUUGGGGGAAACUCUUCAACGGGCAGUUAGGAAGGCUACAAGGUAUAGGCACUGACUUUUUUGUUUUUUGAUUUUAUGUUUCACAAAGUUUCCUGCUUCAUUUGUUUUUGUUCACAUAGUUUCUAGUUUAUUGUGAAGAGAAAACGAAUUUUGGGUAUUUAUUUGGCCCAGCUAACAUCAUUUUACUAAUGCCACCAGUGAAAGUGUGAAAGUGUGAACGAGUACUAUUCAGGUAAAAUAACUACAUCAACCUUAUUAGAUUAUAGGAGCAGACUGAUUGUUAUAAAAGCAGGGAAUAAGUGGACGCUCUCACAAUUCUGCCCAAAAACACUUCCAUGAAUAAAGAAUGGCAUCAAAACA